GGGACAGCAGAGGAUGAGACGGUUGGAUGGCAUCACCGACAUGAUGGACAUGAGUGAUGCUCUUUACUAUCAGUGCAGCCUGCUCCUGUGACUGCCCUGGAAUGGGUGGAGACUCUACAAAUCUGCCUGAUGAACCAACCAGGACACCACUCUAGAGUACACAUUCACAGCAUUCUGCUGGGAGGCAGCUGGCUGUUUCCAGGUUCCACCCAGGGAUAUGAGCAUUCUUGCUUGACACUGAAGACAGAAUGUCACAGUCUAAUGUAAUGGAGAAAGUCAUGACUUUUAAAAAUUCUCCCUAGCCUAUUGGCUCUGGCUGUGCCUUCAUAGAUAGUCUGGAGAUGACUGAUAAGAAUGUGGAAGAUCUGUUCGGGUGAGUGAGAAAAUGAUGGUAGAACCACCCAUUUGGUUGUUAUGAGAAUAUACUAGAUAAUUGAAGAUGAGGACUGGGAGUAAUGUGGAAACCAGGAAAUUAGAGAAGAGAAGCUAAAUCUGUGAGAUACAUCAAAGGCAGAAUUCACUCUACUUGAACCUAAUUGAUUCAGUAAAGAGUUAUAUGGCAGGCCUGGGUUAUUCAAACCCUGACCGUUCAAGGCAAAAACACAUCUUCAGGACUGACCCUUGGUCAGCUUUUAGGGAAUAACCUCUGAGCUCUUGAAAUGUACUGCCUGAGAAGAAUGUUUUUGUUUGCCUGAGAUCCUACACUUUUGCUGAUGCUGGGUGGGUGUGGAGAGGGAGACCAUGUACUGGACUCGAAGGAGCUGCAUUGUUAUACCUGACUGACCCCCAAUAAAAACUCUGGAUGCCA